GAUGAACGCUGGCGGCGUGCCUAAUACAUGCAAGUCGAGCGAACGGACGAGAAGCUUGCUUCUCUGAUGUUAGCGGCGGACGGGGGAGUAACACGUGGAUAACCUACCUAUAAGACUGGGAUAACUUCGGGAAACCGUAGCUAAUACCGGAUAAUAUUUUGAACCGCAUGGUUCAAAAGUGAAAGACGGUCUUGCUGUCACUUAUAGAUGGAUCCGCGCUGCAUUAGCUAGUUGGUAAGGUAACGGCUUACCAAGGCAACGAUGCAUAGCCGACCUGAGAGGGUGAUCGGCCACACUGGAACUGAGACACGGUCCAGACUCCUACGGGAGGCAGCAGUAGGGAAUCUUCCGCAAUGGGCGAAAGCCUGACGGAGCAACGCCGCGUGAGUGAUGAAGGUCUUCGGAUCGUAAAACUCUGUUAUUAGGGAAGAACAUAUGUGUAAGUAACUGUGCACAUCUUGACGGUACCUAAUCAGAAAGCCACGGCUAACUACGU
rnacentral:rRNA from 1 species